rnacentral:lncRNA from 1 species
GCAUUAAUGAGGUAUAACUGACAUACAAUAACCUGUGUUAUUGAAAGUGUACAGUUUGGUGAAUUUUGAGACAUACACACUGGUGAAACCAUCAACAUGAACAUACCCAUCCCCCUCUCAUUUCCUCAUGCUUCCUCAUCAUCUAUUCAAUGGUUUCAUAACUGCUGAGGACCAGAAAGGAAGUGCUAGUCUCCUGUCACUCAGUCCAGUGUUAAUUCUAAGAGGCUACCUUCAACCAUCCCCAGAAGAGGCGCGGGAACCAGUUAUUAAGCACAUACCAUGUAUGAAGCUCCAGACAAAAAACAAUGUUUGGUCGACAAUGGACUGCAUAUAUGAUGGUGGUCCCCUAAGAUUAUAGUGAAGCUGAAAAAUUCCUAUUGCCUGGUGACAUUGUUGUCAUCAUAAAGUCAUAGCACAACACAUUUCUCACCUGUUUGUGGUAAUGCUGAUGUAAACAAAGCUACUGUGUUGCCAGUUGUAUACACGUGUGCAGUAAUGUCCUAGGUCCUCACAUAUGCUCACCACUCAAUCACUGACUCACCUGGAGCGACUGCCAGUCCACAAGCUCAUUCACAGGAAGUGUCCUGUACAGGUGUGCCAGUUUCUUAAUGUUUUAUGCCAUAUUUUGACUCCGCUCAUUCCAGACAGUGUGUUUGGGGAGCUAUGCAGUAUUUCACAUUUCUGCCUAGAUGCUGGAAAAUCAAGCCUGCUUAACGUGAAGAUGAUGAGGAUGAAAACCUUUAUGAUGAUCCACUUCCAUUUGAUGAAUGCACUCAACAGCUCCUGA